CUACGUAGGAGACAAGCGUUAUCCGGAUUUACUGGGUGUAAAGGGCGUGUAGGCGGUUUAGCAAGUCAGAAGUGAAAUUCCCGGGCUUAACUUGGGCGCUGCUUCUGAAACUGCUUUACUUGAGUGCUGGAGAGGAUAGUGGAAUUCCUAGUGUAGCGGUAAAAUGCACAGAUAUUAGGAGGAACACCGGUGGCGAAGGCGGCUAUCUGGACAGUAACUGACGCUGAGGCGCGAAAGCACGGGGAGCAAACAGGAUUAGAUACCCUGGUAGUCCGUGCCGCAAACGAUGAAUACUAGGUGUAGGGGGUAUCGACUCCCUCUGUGCCGCAGUUAACACAUUAAGUAUUCCACCUGGGGAGUACGGCCGCAAGGUUGAAACUCAAAGGAAUUGACGGGG
rnacentral:rRNA from 1 species